rnacentral:ncRNA from 2 species
GGCAGAGUAGAUAAUUGUGCGUUAAGUGUCAGUCGGACGGGAAGUUGCCGCUGAACGAAAAAUCAAGUUUGAUUUGCGGUACAAUUGUCGCAUUCCGCUGCC